UGCGCGCACGCGCCGAAUCCCGUGAGGGAACCGGGGAACCACCACCUUGGGGUGAAUCGCACGUCGUCCGCCGUGCCGUCACGGCCGGUCGACGCGCGUAGGAGACCUUCCCGCUCCGAACCCGUCAGCUAACCCGGUAGGCGACGCGGAAGGAAAGG
rnacentral:sRNA from 2 species